rnacentral:rRNA from 1 species
AGAUUGAACGCUGGCGGUAUGCUUAACACAUGCAAGUCGAACGGCAGCACAGGGUAGCUUGCUAUCCGGGUGGCGAGUGGCGGACGGGUGAGUAACGCGUAGGAAUCUACCUUUUUGUGGGGGAUAACCCGGGGAAACUCGGGCUAAUACCGCAUACGCCCUACGGGGGAAAGCGGGGGACCUUUGGGCCUCGCGCAAAAAGAUGAGCCUGCGUCCUAUCAGGUAGUUGGUGAGGUAAUGGCUCACCAAGCCGACGACGGUAGCUGGUCUGAGAGGACGACCAGCCACACUGGGACUGAGACACGGCCCAGACUCCUACGGGAGCAGCAGUGGGGAAUUUGGACAGUGGACGCAAGUCUGAUCCAGCCAUUCCGCGUGCGAGGAUGAAGGCCCUCGGGUUAGUAAACUGUCGUUUUAGGACGAACGAAAGCCGCUACUCGUAAGUACGGGCGUCAGUGACGUACCGUAC